GGAGCCGUGCCUGAAACUAAAGGAUCACUUUGAUAGAGUGAAUAAUGGGGGUGAAAAUCCACCCGACUCCU
rnacentral:tRNA from 1 species